rnacentral:rRNA from 1 species
UCAAAAACAUAGCCUUUAGCCCCACAAGUAUUAAAGGUCCCGCCUGCCCAGUGACUCUUUAAACGGCCGCGGUAUCCUAACCGUGCAAAGGUAGCAUAAUCACUUGUCCCUUAAAUAGGGACUGGAAUGAACGGCUAAAUGAGGAUUAAACUGUCUCUUGCGAGCCGGUCAAUGAAUUUGAUUUUCCAGUUCAAAAGCUGGAAUAAACACAUAAGACGAGAAGACCCUGUGGAGCUUCAAAACCUAGUUCACCAAAUAAUGCUUCCUUCGGUUUUUAGUUGGGGCGACUUCGGAGCACAAAAAAACCUCCAAAACAUGUAAACCCACUAUAAUAAGAUCAACAAACCACAAAACCACAAGAUCCAGCAACAGCCCUUAAUGUUGUCUGACCAAUGAACCAAGUUACCCCAGGGAUAACAGCGCCAUCCCCUUCUAGAGUCCCUAUCGACAAGGGGGUUUACGACCUCGAUGUUGGAUCAGGACACCCCAAUGGUGCAGCCGCCACUAAAGGUUCGUUUGUUCAACGAUUAAAGUCCUA